AUUGAACGCUGGCGGCAGGCCUAACACAUGCAAGUCGAACGAACCUUCGGGUUAGUGGCGGACGGGUGAGUAACGCGUGGGAAUCUGCCCUCAGGAGGGGGAUAACGGCUGGAAACGGCCGCUAAUACCCCAUAUGCCGCGAGGUGAAAUGAAUUUCGCCUGAGGAUGAGCCCGCGUCUGAUUAGCUAGUUGGUGAGGUAAUGGCUCACCAAGGCGUCGAUAAGUAGCUGGUCUGAGAGGAUGAUCAGCCACACUGGGACUGAGACACGGCCCAGACUCCUACGGGAGGCAGCAGUGGGGAAUUUUCCGCAAUGGGCGAAAGCCUGACGGAGCAACGCCGCGUGAGGGAUGAAGGCCUCUGGGCUGUAAACCUCUUUUCUCAAGGAAGAAGAUCUGACGGUACUUGAGGAAUAAGCCACGGCUAAUUCCGUGCCAGCCGCCGCAAAA
rnacentral:rRNA from 1 species